rnacentral:rRNA from 1 species
AUUGAACGCUGGCGGCAUGCCUUACACAUGCAAGUCGAACGGUAACGGGCCUUCGGGUGCCGACGAGUGGCGAACGGGUGAGUAAUGCAUCGGAACGUACCUUUCAGUGGGGGAUAACGUAGCGAAAGUUACGCUAAUACCGCAUAUUCUGUGAGCAGGAAAGCAGGGGAUCGCAAGACCUUGCGCUGAUUGAGCGGCCGAUGUCAGAUUAGCUAGUUGGUGAGGUAAAGGCUCACCAAGGCGACGAUCUGUAGCGGGUCUGAGAGGAUGAUCAGCCACACUGGAACUGAGACACGGUCCAGACUCCUACGGGAGGCAGCAGUGGGGAAUUUUAGACAAUGGGGGCAACCCUGAUCCAGCCAUGCCGCGUGAGUGAAGAAGGCCUUCGGGUUGUAAAGCUCUUUCGGCCGGGAAGAAAUCGUAUGGGCUAAUACCCUGUGCGGAUGACGGUACCGGCAUAAGAAGCACCGGCUAACUACGUGCCAGCCGCCGCAGUAAGAC